GACGUUAAGCAAUUAUACGUUUUUCUUGGAGAUUUUCAACUGGGCACUCUUUGUUAAUUGAGAAGCCUCUUUCUAGUGCUGAGUUUCCAUGAGAAAUAAUCAGGACCAUUUUCACAAAACAGAACAGAUCUGAAUGGAUCUGAAUCAAAAUGAAGAUGGAAAGUAUGCUUUUAACAUAUUAACCCAAAAUCUAUCCAAACGGCACUCACCUCGUCGCCUUCGUAAUAGAAAUCUAUUUUUUAGUCAAAGUUGGAUUUAAGCAAGAAAUAUAUUCUGUUUGUUUGUGAUUGAGCGAAGAUCUUUCAUGUAUUUUUUUGAGGAUAGCAACAAGAAUAUUUCGGCAAUCUUGACGAAAAGUUAGAAAGUCAAGAUCCUUUAAGUCUGGAGUAUUCCUAAGGGCGUCUAGAGUCGCAAAACCUAAAUCAAUCUUCUUAUCCAACAUAUUUUCUUUAUUGCAUAGAUCUAAUUUCACGAUGGGAUUUUUUUCCAAGACUUCAGAGUUGAGAACCCGGACUGCAAAACUUUGGAAUAACCCAGUCAAAUCGCUGAAGAGGAAUGGAGCCAUAGGACUGUCAGACUGGAAGGCAGUUGUUAGAAAUGGCUCUAAUUCUGUUGUCAAAAACUCAAAAAACAGAAAGUUGCAUAUGCUUUCAAUGGAUCUAGCAUAAUUUUAAACCUUCUAUAUAUUUGACCAUUUUCUAUCCAACGCACAUCGCAAAUCUUUAGCGGAAACAGUUGAGAGCUUGUGAUUUCGGAGUAAUCUUGGCGCCUGGCAGGGGAAUCUAUAAAAAAAGUAAUCAGCAGCGCGAAAUAUAUCCAUUAAAUUCCAAUGAGAAGAAUUCAUGCCAGCCUUAAAGCCUCCGUGCGUAGAAUGAAUGCCACAACUACCCAAAUUCAAUAACUCAGAAUAAUCAUUGGAAAACUCUUUCAAUUCUUGGCAUAAAUCAUCGAGCAUUUUAAAAUUAACAUUUGGGCCAUCCAGAACAAAUUGGAUAACUUUGCCCAAGUUUUUUUCCCGUACAACAGCUUUGAAUCCUUCACGAAGGUCUACGGCCCGUGUGUGGCCUGAGAAAAUCGAAUCCAGAUAUCUUGUAGUAACUCCGUUGGUCUCAUCGCACCAGUACCUUAUCGACAAAUCCACCUGCUGAUGCUGUGCAAUUUUAUUUAGAGAUUCAUCGAAGCCCACUACGAGAUGAGAACAGUUGUCGAUAAUCGAUUCCAAUCUCUUCUUGAAAUAAGGAGCAAUACCAUAAACAAUAGUAUAAUAGACUUUAUAUUUUUGCAACUGCAAUCUCUUUACUAUUUCACUGUCUGGGAAUAUACUCGGACAAAGAGUCACCAAGUCGCCAAUGCUUCGCAGAGAAAUGUGAUGAACGACAGAAUAAAGACAGAGCAUACUUUCAGUUUUGGUUACUUCCUCUUUCUGUAGAAAUAAUUUCAUGACAGCAGUUGAUCCAUGAACGUGUGAAGAGCUUUUGUAUAAGUGAUCUUCUGAAGAACUUUCCGAGAUUUUCUCCACUCUCUCUUUUUGUAACUGUGUUGAAGACGAAGGUCCUAAUAGAUAAUAUAAAUUUAAAUUAAUAAUAGGAAUAAAAAAGAUGCAAUAAAUCGUUAAUGC